rnacentral:snoRNA from 1 species
AACCCCUGGCCAUGGGCAGAGAGACACCUCACUGGUGGUGUUACUCUUAUAUCAGCCAGGGGCAGAGCAGAUACAGGCCUUUGUUCAUCCUAGCUUGAUGCCUGAAAUGGUGGCCAGAGCUGGUUCAUGCUUGAGGUACAUAA